UGCAGCAACGCCGCGUGAGGGAUCACGGCCUAUCGGGUUGUAAACCUCUUUUAGCAGGGAAGAAGCGAAAGUGACGGUACCUGCAGAAAAAGCGCCGGCUAACUACGUGCCAGCAGCCGCGGUAAUACGUAGGGCGCAAGCGUUAUCCGGAAUUAUUGGGCGUAAAGAGCUCGUAGGCGGUUUGUCGCGUCUGCUGUGAAAUCCCGAGGCUCAACUUCGGGUCUGCAGUGGGUACGGGCAGACUAGAGUGCGGUAGGGGAGAUUGGAAUUCCUGGUGUAGCGGUGGAAUGCGCAGAUAUCAGGAGGAACACCGAUGGCGAAGGCAGAUCUCUGGGCCGUAACUGACGCUGAGGAGCGAAAGGGUGGGGAGCAAACAGGCUUAGAUACCCUGGUAGUCCACCCCGUAAACGUUGGGAACUAGUUGUGGGGUCCAUUCCACGGAUUCCGUGACGCAGCUAACGCAUUAAGUUCCCCGCCUGGGGAGUACGGCCGCAAGGCUAAAACUCAAAGGAAUUGACGGGGACCCGCACAAGCGGCGGAGCAUGCGGAUUAAUUCGAUGCAACGCGAAGAACCUUACCAAGGCUUGACAUAUACGAGAACGCUGCAGAAAUGUAGAACUCUUUGGA
rnacentral:rRNA from 1 species